UAGGCGGGACGGGUGAGUAAUGUCUGGGAAACGGCCCGAUGGAGGGGGAUAACUACUGGAAACGGUAGCUAAUACCGCAUAACGUCGCAAGACCAAAGAGGGGGACCUUAGGGCCUCUUGCCAUCGGAUGUGCCCAGAUGGGAUUAGCUAGUAGGUGGGGUAAUGGCUCACCUAGGCGACGAUCCCUAGCUGGUCUGAGAGGAUGACCAGCCACACUGGAACUGAGACACGGUCCAG
rnacentral:rRNA from 1 species